rnacentral:antisense_RNA from 1 species
GGGCCCCCAGAAUUCCUGAGAACCCUCCAACUGUGUGCUCAGGGCAGCCCGGAUGGCUGGGCCGGCUCAUACCGUUGAAAAACUUGAUGAUGUCAGUGAAAUCCAUGUCGUUGUCGCGGAUGAUCUCUCGCUUACGCAGCCCAGUCCCCUGUCCCGCCAUCCCUCACCAUUGUCGAGGGUGACCAGGAGAGGAGCCAGCAGAUCGCACAUGCCCUGCACAUAGCCCACGUCCAGGUGCUCCCACACGUAGCUGAAAGGCAGGGGCAGUCACUGUGGCUGUGCCCCAUUCUUCCCUCCCUCGGGAUCCCUGGGGAGACGGCCUCCAGAGCCACCUGCCGCCCAGAAGUCAGCCUUCCCGCGACCCUAAGGCUUGACUGGAUGCCCGAGGCCACGGAGUAAUUGCGAGAGGAGGGCAGUCCUGAGUCUGGAGAGUCGAACUCCAUGGAAUGCUGCUGCUCCACCAUGGCGGUGCCCAGAGUCCCGGCUCCUGCUUCCUGCUCAGCCUCCAACACUGUGGCCACGGAGCACCAAGCCAGCUUCUGACCCAGCCAGCCAGGCGGAGAGAAACAAGCCUCUGGCCAAACAUGAAGACACGUCUUCAGCCCUGCUUGAAUGAACAGCCCCAGGUCUUCCUGGGGCUACUGAAGGGAAGAAGGGGAGCCAGAGGGCUGAACGCUCAAUGGCCAGUUUGAACUCAGUCUCAUUCUAGAAACGCCUGAAGUCAUGAGCCCAGGAGAAUGGCCUUAGUGUUUUGGUGUGGCUGGGUGGAGAGAAGCCUAAAGGUUUUAGGAAAACAAGUUUUGCCUUAUUUU